UCAGGAUGAACGCUGGCGGCGUGCUUAACACAUGCAAGUCGAACGAAGCAAUUUUCUACGAUCCUUUCGGGGUGACGGAUUAUUGACUGAGUGGCGGACGGGUGAGUAACGCGUGGGUAACCUACCUUGUACAGGGGGACAACAGUUGGAAACGACUGCUAAUACCGCAUAAGCGCACAGCAUCGCAUGAUGCAGUGUGAAAAGUUUUUUCGGUACAAGAUGGACCCGCGUCUGAUUAGCUAGUUGGUGAGGUAACGGCCCACCAAGGCGACGAUCAGUAGCCGACCUGAGAGGGUGACCGGCCACAUUGGGACUGAGACACGGCCCAAACUCCUACGGGAGGCAGCAGUGGGGAAUAUUGCACAAUGGGCGAAAGCCUGAUGCAGCGACGCCGCGUGAGCGAAGAAGUAUUUCGGUAUGUAAAGCUCUAUCAGCAGGGAAGAUAAUGACGGUACCUGACUAAGAAGCACCGGCUAAAUACGUGCCAGCAGCCGCGGUAAUACGUAUGGUGCAAGCGUUAUCCGGAUUUACUGGGUGUAAAGGGAGCGUAGGCGGUUUUACAAGUCUGAUGUGAAAGCCCGGGGCUCAACUCCGGUAUUGCAUUGGAAACUGUAGAACUAGAGUGUCGGAGGGGUAAGUGGAAUUCCUAGUGUAGCGGUGAAAUGCGUAGAUAUUAGGAGGAACACCAGUGGCGAAGGCGGC
rnacentral:rRNA from 1 species